UACAGAGGUCUCAACCGUUGUUCGGAUUCAUUGGGCGUAAAGGGUGCGUAGGCGGCCACCGCAAGUCGACUGUGAAAUCUCCGGGCUUAACCCGGAAAGGUCAGCCGAUACUGCGGGGCUAGAGUGCAGAAGGGGCAACUGGAAUUCUCGGUGUAGCGGUGAAAUGCGUAGAUAUCGAGAGGAACACCUGCGGCGAAGGCGGGUUGCUGGGCUGACACUGACGCUGAUGCGCGAAAGCUAGGGGAGCGAACGGG
rnacentral:rRNA from 1 species